ACGAACGCUGGCGGCAGGCCUAACACAUGCAAGUCGAACGCUCCAGCAAUGGAGAGUGGCAGACGGGUGAGUAACGCGUGGGAACCUUCCCUAUGGUUCGGAAUAGCUCAGGGAAACUUGAGGUAAUACCGGAUAAGCCCUUCGGGGAAGGAUUUAUCGCCAUUGGAUGGGCCCGCGUAGGAUUAGCUAGUUGGUGAGGUAACGGCUCACCAAGGCGACGAUCCUUAGCUGGUCUGAGAGGAUGAUCAGCCACACUGGGACUGAGACACGGCCCAGACUCCUACGGGAGGCAGCAGUGGGGAAUAUUGGACAAUGGGCGCAAGCCUGAUCCAGCCAUGCCGCGUGAGUGACGAAGGCCUUAGGGUUGUAAAGCUCUUUUGGCGGGGAAGAUAAUGACGGUACCCGCAGAAUAAGCUCCGGCUAACUUCGUGCCA
rnacentral:rRNA from 1 species